GACGAACGCUGGCGGCGUGCUUAACACAUGCAAGUCGAACGGUAAGGCCCUUCGGGGUACACGAGUGGCGAACGGGUGAGUAACACGUGGGUGAUCUGCCCUGCACUUCGGGAUAAGCCUGGGAAACUGGGUCUAAUACCGGAUAGGACCACUGCCUGCAUGGGUGGUGGUGGAAAGCUUUUGCGGUGUGGGAUGGGCCCGCGGCCUAUCAGCUUGUUGGUGGGGUGAUGGCCUACCAAGGCGACGACGGGUAGCCGGCCUGAGAGGGUGACCGGCCACACUGGGACUGAGAGACGGCCCAGACUCCUACGGGAGGCAGCAGUGGGGAAUAUUGCACAAUGGGGGCAAGCCUGAUGCAGCGACGCCGCGUGAGGGAUGACGGCCUUCGGGUUGUAAACCUCUUUCAGCACCGACGAAGCGCAAGUGACGGUGGGUGCAGAAGAAGGACCGGCCAACUACGUGCCAGCCGCCGCAGUAA
rnacentral:rRNA from 1 species